rnacentral:rRNA from 1 species
GAUCCUGCCGGCGGGCACCGCUAUUGGAGUUCGCUUAAGCCAUGCGAGUCGAGAGGGGUAAGCCCUCGGCGCACUGCUCAGUAACACGCGGACAAUCUGCCCUCGAGACGGGGAUAACCCCGGGAAACUGGGAAUAAUACCCGAUAGGUCUGAGAUGAUGGAAGGCUCUCAGGCCCAAAUCCUGCGGGGCUCGAGGAUGGGUCUGCGGCCUAUCAGGUAGUAGGGGGUUUCACGGACCCCCUAGCCAUAGACGGGUACGGGCUUUGGGAGAAGUCGCCCGGAGAUGGAUUCUGAGACACGAAUCCAGGUCCUACGGGACGCAGCAGGCGCGAAACCUCCACAAUGUGGGCAACCACGAUGGGGGAACUCCAAGUGCCUACACUUUUGUGUAGGCCGUUCUCGAGCCUAAAAAGCUCGAGAAGUAAGGGCCGGGUAAGACGGGUGCCAGCCGCCGCGGUAAUACCCGCGGCCCGAGUGGUGCUCAUUAUUAUUGAGCCUAAAGCGUCCGUAGCUGGCCGGGCAAAUCUCGGGUAAAUCGGGCGGCUCAACUGCCC